AAUCACUUCUUUCGCUUAUCCUCCUCUUCGGUUACAUAACUUAUUAACACCACCAUGAUUCAUACGUUACAAAACCAUGACUUGGGACAUUUAAUCAAUUUAUACCCGAUAAUCAAUUUCAUACGUUAUAAUAGAACAACAACCCCUUGAAAUGUUCAAUCUCGAGAGAGGUUAUCAUUAUCUGCCCAGGUUUCUCCGUUUCUUUCUUCAGCAAUUUCUUUUUCCUUCUUCUGCAUAUUCUCUCAUACCAGAUUUUUGUUGCUAUAUUAAGAAAAGACAUAUUAUCUAUCUCAGUGAUUCAACAAUGGCACUCAAAUCCAUUAUAGCUCUCCCCAGAUUAACCCAGUUACCGCGUAUCAGUGUCCUGUUUUUUGUUGCUUGACGAAAACGUAAGCAGCCUACACAAUGACCCGUUUAUUUUGCGCCCGAGUUAGUAUUCUGUGCUGAUCAUUAAACUUUAUGGUUUGCGUUCCUGCUAAAGAUUAUUAGCACCAAAGGCCGAAAAGUAGUUAGAUGUUAGAGCUGUAGCCCACAUCAUUCAUGGUGUGAAAUUAUUGAUUUGGUUUGAAAAUUAUUUGUGAAAAUAUCUUUGCACUAACAGAGACUCACCUUGAAGUCAUAAACAUAUGAUACUUAGUUUUUGUAGAAGAAAGAUGGAUCCAUAAAGCAACUUAUACCAUGUCCCGUUUAAUUUGCCCACGAAUAAUUAUUGGGUACUUCAACAAAUAAUAACUGAUUGCGGAUUGAUGAGUUGCAUGGGGUCAUUCCUAAAAACCUUAUUCAGGGGAUUUGCACCCUUCGUCCUUGAGGGUUGUUCCAUUUUCAUUGAUCAUUUCAAAUUGUUGGCCGAAAAACCACGUUUUCGUCCUGCAAAAAAUCUGGACCGUGUGCUUUUCAAGUGGUACACCGUGUGAAAAUUUGAGCAAUAAACUGUGUAAGUAUUAUCUCCACCGUUUUGCUCUUUUAUAUUUAGUCUUCCUGCAUGUUGCUAGAAUUAACUUAGAUUUGAGACUGAAAGGCUUAGCAUGGGAAACAUGUACUACUUGAGAUGUCACUAUAGUUUUUAAGUGUGUUGAGAAUGGUGCUCAUUGACUACUUAAUAUUUCUUUGCCUAUCAAUUUUUAUAAGUUGGUUUAGUUACCUCUCCCCAGCGCGCGAUGCUUAUAUUUUGAGAAAUGAAGGAACAAAGAUACGGGUAUUCCUAAAGUUUCUGAAACCAUGGACAAGUUAUAAUGGGCUGAUGGUACUUGGAGAUAUCAGGUGCUUAAUCUUGUAGAAGGUGUGACAAAAAGAGCCUACAGUUACAUGCAGGAGCUUAAUUUUGGAUUCACCGACUUUAGCUCAGUUUGCAGGUGGGAAUGAAAGGGAGACUACGUUGGCUGUUCUUAGUUAUUAUUUUUAAUUUGUAUGUGGAAAACCACUUUAUUUUGCACAUUUGACAUUAUACUGCCAGGAUUCUUUCUUACUGCACUUCGAGGUUUAUAUUUUCACCCUUAGUAUGCGAUA